CAUACUGAACAAGAACAAAUUCAACAGUAACGAAGGCAUACCUCCGUCCUCAAGAGGUCUUUUCUGUCCUCCAUAACCGUAGUCAUUUGAAUUCAUUGAUG